rnacentral:rRNA from 1 species
GAAGAGCCGCAGUGAAUAGGCCCAAGCGACUGUUUAUCAAAAACACAGGUCUCUGCUAAACCGUAAGGUGAUGUAUAGGGGCUGACGCCUGCCCGGUGCUGGAAGGUUAAGAGGAGUGGUUAGCUUCUGCGAAGCUACGAAUCGAAGCCCCAGUAAACGGCGGCCGUAACUAUAACGGUCCUAAGGUAGCGAAAUUCCUUGUCGGGUAAGUUCCGACCCGCACGAAAGGCGUAACGAUUUGGGCACUGUCUCAACGAGAGACUCGGUGAAAUCAUAGUACCUGUGAAGAUGCAGGUUACCCGCGACAGGACGGAAAGACCCCGUGGAGCUUUACUGUAGCCUGAUAUUGAAAUUCGGCACAGCUUGUACAG